GUACACACCGCCUGUCGCUACUACCGAUUGAAUGUUUUAGUGAGAUCUUCGGCUUGGUUUUCCGAGCGGCUCUCGGGUCGUUCGGUUUAUAUUGAAAAGAUGCUCAAACUGGAUCAUUUAGAGGAAGUAAAAGUCGUAACAAGGUAUUCGUAGGUGAACCUGCAGAAGGAUCA
rnacentral:rRNA from 1 species